GAUGAAGAACGUAGCGAAAUGCGAUAAGUAAUGUGAAUUGCAGAAUUCAGUGAAUCAUCGAAUCUUUGAACGCACAUUGCGCCCGCCAGUAUUCUGGCGGGCAUGCCUGUUCGAGCGUCAUUUCAACCAUCAAGCCCCAGGCUUGUGUUGGAGCCCUGCGGCUGCCGCAGCCUCCCAAAACCAGUGGCGGGCUCGCUAUCACACCGAGUGCAGUAGUUUACUCUUCGCUCAGGGCGUGUGGCGGGUGCUAGCCGUAAAACCCCCAACUUCUCAAUGUUGACCUCGGAUCAUGUAGGAAUACCCGCUGAACUUAAGCAUAUCAAUAAGCGGAGGA
rnacentral:misc_RNA from 1 species